CCUGGAAACGGGGUCUAAUACCGGAUACUGAUCAUCUUGGGCAUCCUUGGUGAUCGAAAGCUCCGGCGGUGCAGGAUGAGCCCGCGGCCUAUCAGCUUGUUGGUGAGGUAACGGCUCACCAAGGCGACGACGGGUAGCCGGCCUGAGAGGGCGACCGGCCACACUGGGACUGAGACCGGCCCAGACUCCUACGGGAGGCAGCAGUGGGGAAUAUUGCACAAUGGGCGAAAGCCUGAUGCAGCGACGCCGCGUGAGGGAUGACGGCCUUCGGGUUGUAAACCUCUUUCAGCAGGGAAGAAGCGAAAGUGACGGUACCUGCAGAAGAAGCGCCGGCUAACUACGUGCCAGCAGCCGCGGUAAUACGUAGGGCGCGAGCGUUGUCCGGAAUUAUUGGGCGUAAAGAGCUCGUAGGCGGCUUGUCGCGUCGGUUGUGAAAGCCCGGGGCUUAACCCCGGGUCUGCAGUCGAUACGGGCAGGCUAGAGUUCGGUAGGGGAGAUCGGAAUUCCUGGUGUAGCGGUGAAAUGCGCAGAUAUCAGGAGGAACACCGGUGGCGAAGGCGGAUCUCUGGGCCGAUACUGACGCUGAGGAGCGAAAGCGUGGGGAGCGAACAGGAUUAGAUACCCUGGUAGUCCACGCCGUAAACGGUGGGCACUAGGUGUGGGCGACAUUCCA
rnacentral:rRNA from 1 species